GUUAACUCAUUAAGCACUCUCCCCUUCACAAAUAAAAUUGUCUGCUAUUAGAUAAUAAAGUAGGGUGCAUUGGGUUGCAUUGCAACUUGCAUAUAUACUGGUCAGCCCAUAGAGUGCCAGAGCUCUCCCCUUGCAUUGACAAGUAUAUUUGUCUGGCAUUUGACAGUAAAAUUAUAUGGUGCAUUGCCACUUAUCAAAAGGGAUAAUAGGG